rnacentral:rRNA from 1 species
CAGCCACGGUAAUUCCAGCUCCAAUAGCGUAUAUUAAAGUUGUUGCAGUUAAAAAGCUCGUAGUUGAACUUCUGUUCAGGUUCAUUUCGACUCGUCGAGUGAAACUGGACAUACGUUUGCAAACUAAAAUCGGCCUUCACUGGUUCGACUUAGGGAGUAAACAUUUUACUGUGAAAAAAUUAGAGUGUUCCAGGCAGGUUUUAGCCCGAAUACAUUAGCAUGGAAUAAUGGAAUAGGACUAAGUCCAUUUUAUUGGUUCUUGGUUUUGGUAAUGAUUAAUAGGGACAGUUGGGGGCAUUAGUAUUUAAUAGUCAGAGGUGAAAUUCUUGGAUUUAUUAAGGACUAACUAAUGCGAAAGCAUUUGCCAAAGAUGUUUUCAUUAAUCAAGAACGAAAGUUAGGGGAUCAAAGACGAUCAGAUACCGUCGUAGUCUUAACUAUAAAC